rnacentral:rRNA from 1 species
AGCGAACGCUGGCGGCAGGCCUAACACAUGCAAGUCGAACGGACCCUUCGGGGUUAGUGGCGGACGGGUGAGUAACACGUGGGAACGUGCCUUUAGGUUCGGAAUAGCUCCUGGAAACGGGUGGUAAUGCCGAAUGUGCCCUUCGGGGGAAAGAUUUAUCGCCUUUAGAGCGGCCCGCGUCUGAUUAGCUAGUUGGUGAGGUAACGGCUCACCAAGGCGACGAUCAGUAGCUGGUCUGAGAGGAUGACCAGCCACACUGGGACUGAGACACGGCCCAGACUCCUACGGGAGGCAGCAGUGGGGAAUCUUGCGCAAUGGGCGAAAGCCUGACGCAGCCAUGCCGCGUGAAUGAUGAAGGUCUUAGGAUUGUAAAGUUCUUUCACCGGGGACGACAAUGACGGCACCCGGAGAAGAAGCCCCGGCUAACUUCGUGCCAGCCGCCGCCGUAA